AAACAAAACGGAGGUGAAGCUGGAGGUCGGCAGGAGGUGGAGGACGGGAGGCCGCAGGCGACGAGGGCGGCGCUGGAGGUCCCCGACGCUGGGAGGAGGCGGCAGUGGAGGUCGGAGGGAGGGAGGCGGCGCUGGUCGUCGAGAGGGUAGGGCAGAGAGGGAGUUUUGGGCGCUGGAGCUUGACACUGCGGAGGAGGCGACGCUGGGAGGAGGCGACGCUGGAGAAGAAAUCGCGAGGCUAGGGCAGGGAGGGAGUUUUGGGCGCUGGAGCUUGGCACUACGGAGGAGGCGACGCUGGGAGGAGGGAGGGACCAGGGAGGCAACGCUGGGAGGAGGGAGGGACCAGGGAGGCGACGCUGGGAGGAGGCGACGAGAAGAAAUCGCGAGGCUAGGGCAGGGAGGGAGUUUUGGGCGCUGGAGCUUGGCACGUGUUUGACACGUGAGAGAGUUUUAUAUCACUUGUGCGGACCAAGGAGGGACCAGGGAUUUUGGGACCAGAAGAUCCACCCCCCCCUAUCAAGACCAAGUUUAUAAAUGACAUUACAAUUUAAUUCAACCUAUUUAUUUUUAUUAACUUACCUUUCCACGCCGCUGAUUCGUUUCCUCUUCCCUUCUUCCUUCGUACAACAAGGAGGACCUUUCUUCCUCUCCUCGGCAAGCAGUGAUGGUACCUUCUUCCCUCUCUGCAGCAAGAUAGGAGUUCUUCUUCCCUCUCGGUAGCAAGCAAGGAGGAGCUCUUCUUCACUCUCCGCAACAAGAAAGGAUGACCUUAAAGGUAACCCUAAUUUCUUAUUUAUUGUUAAAAUAUAAUCUUGCCCGGUGUGCGAACUAGCUUGGUGAGAAACCGACCUACGACCGCACGCAAAGUGACCGCUUGUCACUUGGCUAGGCAGCGACUCCCUCGUGUGUGGUCGCACGCGAAGCAACCUCUCAUCGCCUAGCGAGGUAGCGCUGCAGUGACCCCUCGUUUGCAGCCGCACGUCGCCUGGCUCGGCAGCGACCCCUUCGUUUGCAGUCGCACGUCGCUUGGUUAAAGCAAUGACCAUGCCUAGAAAGGUGUCACUUUCACUAUGUUGAGAAAAUAAAUUUUGAUGCCCUUGUAGAGCUUAAAGCAGCAUUUCAGUCUGCAAAUAAGGAUCAGAAUAUGAAGCACACGUAUCUUCCAUUUAUAUUAAAGUCUCUUUCAAUGACAUUGAAUAAAUAUCCCUCGCUAAAUAGCUCCUUCAAUGACGAAACCAAUGAAAUCAUCUUAAAAGGUUUCAAAUUUCAUUCUCCUUCCAUUCUAAUGAUUUAUAUGAUUUAUAUGAUUUCAACAUUGGUUUAUUAUUUCCAUUAUUUUGAAAAGACUAAUGUUUCUUAAGUUCACAAGUCUAUAUAUCUCUAGGUAUCCUUUGUUAUAUUGUGGGAAUUAAAGAGGUAUUACCUUGGAUUAUUUUUGAGAUAAGAAUUUUUCCGAGCAUGAUUAAAUAUUGACAUAUAUUUGACUAAGAAUUGUUACUGGAAUAUACAACUUGUUAUUCAUUUCACCUCUUAUUAUUUUAUUUAGUGAUCCAAGGUGGUAAGUGGCAUGCUUUACUAUUACAGAUCAUGUAUAUAUUCUAAAUCAAGCACAACCAUAUUUCUAUAAUUUGAAUUGCAAAACGAAUAACCAUGGUAAAAAUGGAGGAUACAAAAAAAAAGAGAAAUAUAAUACUAGCACUAUGCAAUUUUGCAGACUCCAUUGCAACUUCAUAGAAGGUUCUGGUCUAGGCUAUGCCCAUGUUGAAGGAAUAAGUUUCUUUAGGAUAAUAUACUAGUACUGUGAAUUUUUGCUAAUUCUAUAUGUUGUAACUUCAGAGAGGUUAUGAUAUACAAAGUUCACAUUUUGAAAGAAUAAUUUUCUUAGAACUAAUGAUCAAUUAAUCAUUAGACUUUAGGAUAAUAUAUAUUCUGAUAUUGCAUGCAUUUUCUACUAUGAAGAUGUCAAUUUCAAAUGGAUUUGGGCAUGCUAUAAUUAUUGUCAUAUUGUCUUAUUUUACUAGCUUUGUAACAUUAUAGAAUUAUUCUUUUAUUAUUCCUCUAUCUCUAACUUCUUUGUUUUCUGAAGGUUAUCAUAAUAUAGGUAUAGCGAUGACAACUACUUAUGGACUUGUUGUGCCAAACAUAAAGAAGGUUCAAUCACUUACAAUAUCGGAGUGCCUUUUUAGAUAUUUUGAAGGUGAAUGGAGGUAUUUAGAAACUCUAGCUAAAUAGCUUGGGUAUGGAUGAUUAUAGGAGCAGCAACUACAUGUUAUGUGGCAAUACAUCCGAACCUCAGGAGUGUGACUGGGAAGUACUUCGACGAAGAACUAUCAAGAAGGUUUUGGGAUUUAAGCAAGAAGAUGGUUAAAACCAAUGAGUAAAGAACAUUCAAGUCAAGAGGAUAAGUAGCAUCUAUCAAGAUCCUUUAAGUUCAUGCAAUAAAAUAUAGUCGAUAGGAGUAGUUUUGAGUGUUUCCUAAUUAAAAUUUCUUUGUAUGCGAGUAAUUAUGUUUGUUAUAAAAGUGUAAAGAUGAUAAUUUGUAUAUUUAUCUUGAUUGUUUAUUUAAUAAUAUGUUGUUGAUUGAAAUA